rnacentral:rRNA from 1 species
UACAGAGGUCUCAAGCGUUGUUCGGAUUCAUUGGGCGUAAAGGGUGUGUAGGUGGCGCCGUAAGUGGGGUGUGAAAUCUCGGGGCUUAACUCCGAAACUGCAUUCCAUACUGCGGUGCUUGAGGACUGGAGAGGAGAGUGGAAUUCCUGGUGUAGCGGUGAAAUGCGUAGAGAUCAGGAGGAACACCCGUGGCGAAGGCGGCUCUCUGGGUCCGCCCUGACGCUGAGGCGCGAAAGCGUGGGGAGCGAACGGG